ACCGGCGCACGGGUGAGUAACACGUAUCCAACCUGCCGUCUACUCUUGGACAGCCUUCUGAAAGGAAGAUUAAUACAAGAUGGCAUCAUGAGUCCGCAUGUUCACAUGAUUAAAGGUAUUCCGGUAGACGAUGGGGAUGCGUUCCAUUGGAUAGUAGGCGGGGUAACGGCCCACCUAGUCUUCGAUGGAUAGGGGUUCUGAGAGGAAGGUCCCCCACAUUGGAACUGAGACACGGUCCAAACUCCUACGGGAGGCAGCAUG
rnacentral:rRNA from 1 species